rnacentral:rRNA from 1 species
UUUUAUUGGAGAGUUUGAUCCUGGCUCAGGACGAACGCUGGCGGCGUGCCUAAUACAUGCAAGUCGAGCGGAUGUGAUGAAGAGCUUGCUCUUCUGAACAUUAGCGGCGGACGGGUGAGUAACACGUGGGUAACCUGGCUGUAAGACUGGGAUAACCCCGGGAAACCGGAGCUAAUACCAGAUA